rnacentral:lncRNA from 1 species
GGGACGUACCACCGCCAGUGGGAACGAACAUCAGAGAAUACCAAUGAACCAUCAUUUGCAAAUGGGACUUGCUGAAGGAGGAAGUUUGAAGUGCAAACCUCCAUCAACAUCCCAGGCACUGUGGGGUGCAAUGAGGAUAUGGCCAAGCUCCAGGCGUGCAGCUCUGAGAUAUACACACCUUACAUCGUCAGUACCCAAUGUUGAGGCAUAAAGGGCCUUCCAGAGUUGUCUUGAGUAUGUGGAAGUGGUACCUGGUAUCCUGAGGAUCUACUUGAUCCAACUUGCUGAGAAAGUUGCCACUGAGGAUUUGUUAUGGGCAUUCAAUUCGCAGUGAAAGUUACGCCAACUGAUGCCAGUGAGGAAAAGCAGAACUGCAGAAUUGCUGGAUUGGACAUGGGCUGUCAGAAGCCAAAGAUGACUGUAGUAUUUCUGCCCUGAUCAGCUAGAAGAAUGGAGUUGCCAGAUACCAAGAUAUGGAAGAAGGUACAAGGAACAGAAUUCAGCAGUGAAGCCAUCCAGACCUGGGCUUUUCUUUGUUGGUGCAUCUAUUUCCUGGAAAUGUCUCAAAUUUGUCCUUUAUUUCCAAAUAGUAUUCCAUUAUGUAUAGAUAUCACAUUUUCUUUAUCCAAUCAUCUGUUAAUGGGUAUACAGGUUGCUUCCAGAAUUUAUUUACUAUGAAUUGUGCUUCUAUAAACACUGGUAUGCACUAUAGUAU